CGAGUGGCGGACGGGUGAGUAAUGUCUGGGAAACUGCCUGAUGGAGGGGGAUAACUACUGGAAACGGUAGCUAAUACCGCAUAACGUCGAAAGACCAAAGAGGGGGACCUUCGGGCCUCUUGCCAUCGGAUGUGCCCAGAUGGGAUUAGCUAGUAGGUGGGGUAACGGCUCACCUAGGCGACGAUCCCUAGCUGGUCUGAGAGGAUGACCAGCCACACUGGAACUGAGACACGGUCCAGACUCCUACGGGAGGCAGCAUG
rnacentral:rRNA from 1 species